rnacentral:tRNA from 1 species
GGGUCGUUAGCUCAUUUGGUAGAGCAGUUGACUUUUAAUCAAUUGGUCGCAGGUUCGAAUCCUGCACGACCCACCA